AUGAACGCUGGCGGUGUGCCUAAUACCUGCAAGUCGCGCGAACAGACGAGGAGCUUACUCCUCUGACGUUAGCGGCGGACGGGUGAGUAACACGUGGAUAACCUACCUAUAAGACUGGGAUAACUUCGGGAAACCGGAGCUAAUACCGGAUAACAUGUUGAACCGCAUGGUUCAACAGUGAAAGACGGUCUUGCUGUCACUUAUAGAUGGAUCCGCGUCGCAUUAGCUAGUUGGUAAGGUAACGGCUUACCAAGGCAACGAUGCGUAGCCGACCUGAGAGGGUGAUCGGCCACACUGGAACUGAGACACGGUCCAGACUCCUACGGGAGGCAGCAGUAGGGAAUCUUCCGCAAUGGGCGAAAGCCUGACGGAGCAACGCCGCGUGAGUGAAGAAGGUCUUCGGAUCGUAAAACUCUGUUAUUAGGGAAGAACAAAUGUGUAAGUAACUAUGCACGUCUUGACGGUACCUAAUCAGAAAGCCACGGCUAACUACGUG
rnacentral:rRNA from 1 species